AAUCAGGGCCCAAUCAGCUGACUGUCAGCUGGGACGGGCUGGCUUAACCCUUCCUGCGCCGCUGCCUACCCGGGAGGGAACGAGGCCCGGCGCAAAGUUUGGUGUAAGAGGGGAAGGAGUUUUUCCAGAGGGGCUUCGGCAAUCCGGGCGGACCUGGGAGGGCGGUUUGCUUUUCUUUGGAGCGCGAGACAGGCCUCCCAUCCGGAGCCCCAGCUCGCUGGGGGCUCACUCGGCUGGGAUUGGCCUGAUUCCCCUCCCCUGCCUGCCCUCCACCCCCAGGAUUGUGAAUUCGCCUCCCAGCUUUUCCUCCUCGCACCAACUCUGGUACCCAGGUGUCUGCCGGGGACCUUCCUUCCCUGAGCCUGGCCGUGCCCGGCGCUCAAACUUGGCCCCAACUCUUUGUCCGUCUCUCGGGCGCCCGUGCGGGGAAGGGACCGGGAAGGGAGGGAUGCAGUGGGGUGUCCGGAUCGGGGCUGCGGGCUGGGCGCCGCCCGGCCAUGCGCCUGCCCAGAAGGCUGGGCAUCCGUGGAGAGGGAAAGCCCAUUUUAUCCCUCUCUUUACAACGAGGUAAAAUAAGUUGUUUAGAGGCCAUUCUUCACGGAGACCGGCUGCCCGCUGGCGUCGCGUGCCCUUGGACAGAGCGAGCGCCUAUGCGAGAUAACUCCGGGGAAGCUCAAAGUCAGGUCAGCCGGGCUCAGCCUUCCGGCUCCUGACUGGCCGGAGUUUGGCCUUUGAGACUCAUAUUGCGCGCUCGCUCUCUCUCUCUCUUACACACACACACACAAACACACACACACUCACACUCACCCGUCCCCUUACGAAAUCUGACCUCUGUUUAUCAGGGUCAGGCGCGCCCUUUGCACUUUUACGUUUCCUUUAAUUAUUUCGGACUUGAUCGUGGCAGGGAGCAAGGGGGAAAAACAAUACCCCAGCCCUCACCAGCUACCCUCGAAGGGUUAAAUUUUAAACCGCGGUUUCUGGAACUAGUCCGGAAACGCAGAGUGGGGGGUGGGGUGGGGGAGGCUGCUCCCCCCACCCCCAGUUGCAAAUGCUAAUAAGUAGUUCAAAUUUCUAGAUUGAUUCUCUAAAAGUUUAUGCAAAAAAGAAAUAAAAAAGAAAAAGAAAAAAGAAGGAAACCAACAACUAACUCUGUUUCUAAGAUUUUAAAGCGAUAGGCAAGUCGAAGAAGCAGAGAUUUAUUUGGAGAGAAAGCUCCUGAAACCGACCCAGCCUUUGGAAGACCAGCCCGUCUGCUUAGAAGUUGGGACUGUUGAUUCCUUCAAUUAAUGAAAUGCAUUUGGUGUUUUUAAUCGUAUUUAUUUUACUUUAUGAGAAGGGGGAGACGCUAGGAGGGUGCAUUAAAAAAAAAAAAAAAUUCUGAAAAGCCUGCAAAAGGAUCGAAGAGUGGAAACUAUUGUUGGAGCGAGUUGGUUUUUACCUCAACAGCGCCACCUUUCGGCAAAGGUUUCUUCCUUGGAAAACAAUAUACAUCACUUAAUGAAAUCUUUGUUUGUUUUGCACAAGAGAUGUAAAAAAUCCAGAUGUUUUCUUCAGUGAGAAUUCCUGGGAAGGUGUACCAGCCUUCUUCUCUUUCUUCACCUGACAAAGACACCCAACACGGCCUCUCAGACCGGAGGUGUUUAAUAUAUAGUUUUGACACGCAUGAACAUGGGAAUGAAAGGGCUCCUUUUGGUUUUAGACAAUAGACAGAGCUAUAAAAUGAUGAUGGAGCCUGUUUUCCCCACUCUUGUCAUUUUAAGUCAAUAGAUUUCCUGGGUUUCUUCCCCCGCCCCCCCACUUUGCCUUUUCAGGGGAUAGGCAUCUCCUUAGAUUUUUGUUUUUCUUCACUUAGGGUCAGCUUUAUGAUUCGUUCUUCUGCUGUCAUCCUUUUUCAUCCUAUUCACAGCCUGUACCGGUGAGGGAAUUUGUCUCAAAAGCAUUCAGCCCUUCAAAGAUUUUUAUUGUGGUGAACUCAGAACUGAUAAACAGAAAAACAGAAACAGAAAAAGGGAACUGAUAUGGGGGCGAUCUUGAUGCGGGUUGUGUCUCUCAUGCAUGAUAACUCAGAGGACAGGCUCCUCGGUAGUGCGGUAGUGCUAACUCUGUGAAGUUUCUUCACCCUCCUUCCUAGCCCUGGAGGCGGGGUGAUUCAUAGCUCCUGUUCCAAAGGCAUUCAGCAGCCAUUCGACCUGGGAAAGAAACAGAGUUUUAGAAAAUACAGGCCAAAUGUAGAGACGCCUGUGAUUACCAGGAUGAGUAUGUCAGUGCAGGUGGCUUCUGAAUUUCUGUUUCUGAGUUUGUUUGGCUGAUGCCUAAGGAAAGGGGUCCCUUACAGCCCUGUUUUAUACCUUAGUUCUUGGUGGCAACGUGGGUGUUGCUGAUCUCUCUGAUGUGUUUUUCUGUGCACUGAAAACACCAGACAUGCUCCGUGACAUCCUCGGAGCAUCUCCCAUCAUAAUGGAGUGUUCCUAACCUGACAAAGAAUAGCAUAUUACCUCCCCAUCUACUCAAAAUAAAAUUAUAGUAAAAUUUAUCGCCCUUCUGCUAAUAUUUUUUAUUUAGUAACUUUAUAACAGUGAUACAUACUCCUUAUUAAAUAUAAACAUUUGAACAGGAC
rnacentral:lncRNA from 1 species